rnacentral:rRNA from 1 species
UGGGGAAUAUUGCACAAUGGGGGAAACCCUGAUGCAGCAACGCCGCGUGAGUGAUGACGGCCUUCGGGUUGUAAAGCUCUGUCUUCAGGGACGAUAAUGACGGUACCUGAGGAGGAAGCCACGGCUAACUCCGUGCCAGCAGCCGCGGUAAUACGGAGGGUGCAAGCGUUAUCCGGAUUCACUGGGUUUAAAGGGUGCGUAGGUGGGCAGAUAAGUCAGUGGUGAAAUCCUCCGGCUUAACCGGGAAACUGCCGUUGAUACUAUUUGUCUUGAAUAUUGCGGAGGUAAGCGGAAUAUGUCAUGUAGCGGUGAAAUGCUUAGAUAUGACAUAGAACACCAAUUGCGAAGGCAGCUUACUACACAAUCAUUGACACUGAGGCACGAAAGCGUGGGUAGCGAACA